UACGUAGGGUGCAAGCGUUUGUCCGGAAUUAUUGGGCGUAAAGAGCUCGUAGGCGGUCUGUCGCGUCUGCUGUGAAAACCCGAGGCUCAACCUCGGGCCUGCAGUGGGUACGGGCAGACUAGAGUGCGGUAGGGGAGAUUGGAAUUCCUGGUGUAGCGGUGGAAUGCGCAGAUAUCAGGAGGAACACCAAUGGCGAAGGCAGAUCUCUGGGCCGUAACUGACGCUGAGGAGCGAAAGCGUGGGGAGCGAACAGG
rnacentral:rRNA from 1 species